rnacentral:rRNA from 1 species
GACGGACGCUGGCGGCGUGCUUAACACAUGCAAGUCGAACGGAAAGGCCCUGCUUUUGUGGGGUGCUCGAGUGGCGAACGGGUGAGUAAACGUGAGUUACCUGCCCCUGACUUUUGGGUUAACUUAGGAAAACGGGGCCUAAUACCGAAAGGAGGCCCCGCUGCCUGGGGGGGGGUGGAAAGUUUCGGCGGUUGGGGAUGGAAUUGCGGCUUAUCAGCUUGUUGGUGGGGUAGUGGCUUACCAAGGCUUUGACGGGUAGCCGGCCUGAGAGGGUGACCGGCCACAUUGGGACUGAGAUACGGCCCAGACUCCUACGGGAGGCAGCAGUGGGGAAUAUUGCACAAUGGGCGGAAGCCUGAUGCAGCAACGCCGCGUGCGGGAUGACGGCCUUCGGGUUGUAAACCGCUUUCGCCUGUGACGAAGCGUGAGUGACGGUAAUGGGUAAAGAAGCACCGGCUAACUACGUG